GGCUUCGUAGCUCAGCUUGUAGAGCCCCGUCUGGGCAUGGUGUUUAUGUUGUUGGUUCGAAUCCAGCCGAAGUCU